rnacentral:rRNA from 1 species
UACGGAGGGUGCGAGCGUUGUCCGGAAUCACUGGGCGUAAAGGGCGCGUAGGCGGCGCGGUAAGUCGGGUGUGAAAUCUCGGGGCUUAACUCCGAAACUGCAUUCGAUACUGCCGUGCUUGAGGACUGGAGAGGAGACUGGAAUUCAUGGUGUAGCAGUGAAAUGCGUAGAGAUCAUGAGGAAGACCAGUGGCGAAGGCGGGUCUCUGGACAGUUCCUGACACUGGGGCACGAAGGCCAGGGGAGCAAACGGG